GAUUUCAACUGAAAAGUCAUCAAUAACAAAGUUGUAUAACUCAUCAGUAUCUAUAAAUUUUAUUUUGGUCAUUUCUUUAUCCGAUAAAGUGAUACUAACAUUGUUCACAAAAUUACAUAUCUCUGUUAUAGUUUAUAAACUAUAUAAGAGAUAUGUACAUUUUGUGAACAAUGUUACAAAUCACUUUCUCGGAUGAAGAAAUGACUGAAAUAAAAGUUAUAGAUCUUGAUGAGUUAUACCACUUUGUUAUUGAUGACUUUUUCAGUUAAAAUC
rnacentral:pre_miRNA from 1 species